AUUGAACGCUGGCGGCAGGCCUAACCCAUGCAAGUCGAGCGAGAGGCGGACGGGUGAGUAAUGUAUGGGGAUCUGACCGAUAGAGGGGGAUAACUACUGGAAACGGUGGCUAAUACCGCAUCCUAUCGGAUGACCCCAUAUGGGAUUAGCUAGUAGGUGGGGUAAAGGGUUACCUAGGCGAAGAUCCAUAGCUGGUCAGAGAGGAUGAUCAGCCACACGGGUACUGAGAAACGGCCCAGACGCUUACGGGAGGCAGCAGUGGGGAAUAUUGCACAAUGGGCGCAAGCCUGAUGCAGCCAUGCCGCGUGUAGGAAGAAGGCCUUAGGGUUGUAAAGUACUUUCAGCGGGGAGGCGUUACCCGCAGAAGAAGCACCGGCUAACUCCGUGCCAGCCGCCGCGGUAAUUC
rnacentral:rRNA from 1 species